UACGUAGGUGGCAAGCGUUGUCCGGAUUUACUGGGCGUAAAGAGCGCGCAGGCGGUCGUCCAAGUCGCGUGUGAAAGCCCCCGGCUCAACUGGGGAGGGUCACGCGAUACUGGUCGACUCGAAGGCAGGAGAGGGUAGUGGAAUUCCCGGUGUAGUGGUGAAAUGCGUAGAGAUCGGGAGGAACACCCGUGGCGAAAGCGACGUGCUGGACCUCUUCUGACGCUGAAGCGCGAAAGCUAGGGGAGCGAACGGG
rnacentral:rRNA from 1 species